CUGAAGAGUCCCAUAAUAGGACGAAACGGCCGUC
rfam:Schistosoma haematobium scaffold15_45, whole genome shotgun sequence.